rnacentral:rRNA from 1 species
CCUACGGGCGGCAGCAGUGGGGAAUAUUGGACAAUGGGGGCAACCCUGAUCCAGCCAUGCCGCGUGUGUGAAGAAGGCCCUCGGGUUGUAAAGCACUUUCAGUGAGGAAGAACGCCUGGUGGUUAAUGCCCAUCAGGAAAGACAUCACUCACAGAAGAAGCACCGGCUAACUCCGUGCCAGCAGCCGCGGUAAUACGGAGGGUGCGAGCGUUAAUCGGAAUUACUGGGCGUAAAGCGCGCGUAGGUGGCUUGAUAAGCCGGGUUGUGAAAGCCCCGGGCUCAACCUGUGAACGGCAUCCGGAACUGUCAAGCUAGAGUGCAGGAGAGGAAGGUAGAAUUCCCGGUGUAGCGGUGAAAUGCGUAGAUAUCGGGAGGAAUACCAGUGGCGAAGGCGGCCUUCUGGACUGACACUGACACUGAGGUGCGAAAGCGUGGGUAGCAAACAGGAUUAGAUACCCCGGUAGUC